UAGGGAAUAUUGCUCAAUGGGCGAAAGCCUGAAGCAGCAACGCCGCGUGUGCGAUGAAGGUCUUCGGAUCGUAAAGCACUUUUCUGAGAGAUGAGAAAGGACAGUAUCUCAGGAAUAAGUCUCGGCUAACUACGUGCCAGCAGCCGCGGUAACACGUAGGAGGCGAGCGUUAUCCGGAUUCACUGGGCGUAAAGCGCGUGCAGGCGGUUUGGUAAGUUGGGCGUGAAAGCUCCCGGCUCAACUGGGAGAGGUCGUCCAAUACUACCAGACUUGAGAGCAGAAGAGGAAGAUGGAAUUCCCGGUGUAGUGGUGAAAUGCGUAGAUAUCGGGAGGAACACCAGUGGCGAAGGCGAUCUUCUGGUCUGUUUCUGACGCUCAGACGCGACAGCUAGGGUAGUAAACGGGAUUAGAGACCCCGGUAAUCCUAGCCGUAAACGAUGUGAACUUGGCGUUGGUGGCUUAAACACCAUCAGUGCC
rnacentral:rRNA from 1 species